rnacentral:lncRNA from 1 species
GGCCGCGGGCGCGGAGCUCCGCCCGCACGGCCCCGGGCGCGGAGGCACCGCGGCGCUGGCCGGCACCCGCAGGUACCGCACACGUGCCCCCGGAGGAUGCCCGCGCCGGCGCGCCUCUGUUUACUACACGUAUUGGAAAAGGACGCCACAGGAGAAGCCUGAUGGAGAGGGGCUUGCGGACAAGAGCGAGAGAAAACUACAUUCACAGUAAAUAAAAGCAUCACCCACAGAGGAUCUCUCAACUCAGUGACCUUUGAAGUUGCAAGAACACAUGGCCUAGACAGGUAAGGGAAUUCCAUUACUCAUUAUUUUCUGGUGGUUUUGUCCUGUGAAGCAUGCUCGUACAAGGGAAGAGCAGUUUGCAAAACUGUGUUUAAAGAGAAGUGGAU